CUGAUUACUCUUUGUAAUUGUUUAGCACCUGUGACUUAGAGGUAAACAUGAAGGGAGUUCUGGCAGAAAUUGUUGGAGCUUCCUCUCAAUGUUCAAUGGCUUGCUGAACUUGUUCAACAAGCUUGUGAGCUAUUGGCUCCUCACCGACUAUGUCGUGUACAAGACUUAAAUGCGAACCCUACACUCCCAUUUGAAGAUAAUUCUUUUAACAUCAUCAAUAAUGUGGUUAGUGUUGAUUACCUAACAAAGCCUCUUGCAGGAACCCUAACCUACAUCGGGAGAGUCAUAAGCGCAAUUUCAGAUUUGGUGUUAUUGUGAAUUGGAGCUCGAAGGCUUUACCAUUUUGUUCAAUCUGACAUUGCCGCCAUUGCUACUUGCAUAGAGCUAUUUUCAAUUUAGCUUUAUGUCUAAUUUGUUUUGAAUGAUUGUAUCGUAAUCAGAUAUCUGAUGGUAGGGGUGCUAUGCAGGAUAUGUUUUAAAGGAAAAACUUGGUUGGUUGGUUUUGAUAUUUGAGAUGAUGAUGUAAAUGCAAUUGAUUGUAUUUUUAUUAAUUAAUUUAGCACUGAUACUACAUAGUUUUCUGGAACAACUCUGAGUAAAGCUGGAAAAAAAAAGUGAUAUUAAACCAUAGAAAAAAAAUAUAGUGAUAUUAAAGGGAUGUUUUUGCUACUCUGUUUCAACGUCUGAAAGUGCUUUUAGUACUGGUGGUAGAGUCUUAGAUAUAUUUAGAACUUGUCUAAAUCCUGAUAUGUCUGAGACAUUAAUUUGUACUCAAAAUUGGUUGAGGUAUUCUCUCUAUGAAUUUAAAGACUUCAAUAUCCUUGAGGACUUUGAUACAUCUGAAAACAUUGUUACAGGUAUUAAAAUUAUGUAGAAUGUUAUUAUUUCUGUGUUGAAUUCUAUACAGUUGGAGGAGCUGGUCCAUCUGCCACUGCAUUAGCAGUUGGUCCAUCUUCACAAUCACAGCCUGCUGUUUGUAUUUGAGAAGUUUAUGUGUCUGUUCUUUUAUCUAAAUUUUGGUACUUUAAAUUUAAAUUUUUUUUUAAAUUAGUCAGCUAAUAGUAUGGUAUUUUCAAUUGCAGGUUGAAUAAGUUUUUUGAAUUUUUUGGAGUCAUUGCUAAGUCAUGACUCAGGAACCUGCUUGUUUUUUUGGAAAAACUUGAUUUUGGAUCUUUGAUUUUGCUUGUUUUUUGAAUUUGGACUUGAAACUCUGAAUAGAAUAGAACCAACAAUAAGAUUAAUAUUAUAAAUCUGAUUUAUAUUGUAUUUAAAUUAAGUUAUUAAGGGAUAUAACAAAUCUGACUUGUACCAACUGACUGCUUGUUUUGGUCAGUUGCUUGUUGCUGCUAUCCAUUGUUGUCUCAGUCAAUAUGAUAUGAUGCUUCUUUUAACUCAUCGUCCUUCACAGUUCCUUAGCAUCGCAUGCAGUUCUCGCUAUCGUUCAAGCCCUCGGUUUGGAUCACGCUCUCACGGUGUUCAUUUUACAAAGAAAUUGUUGUGAGUCUCCCUCAGCUCCAUUUCUAGUCUCUAUAAUUCAAUUAAGCUACUGUUAUCGCAGCAUCCAUUUAAUUUUAAAGCUAAUCAAUGAUUUUUAAUUCAGCCACCACUGUAGAGAUUAAAUCAACUUUGACGCCCUAUCAAAACAAACACAAUUUCUAACAAGAGCUAAAAGCAAUAAUCAAAUAUAUAAUGAUUUUUAAGUUCAUGCUUUGAAUGAAUCGUUGCAUAAAUAGGAACAAGAAAAGUUGUUGAUGAAACAACAAUUGAAAUGACAAGAAAAAGAGAUGGUCGAGGCCAACAAAAAUUUAACCAUUCUUAGGAUUUGUUGGAUCUUCUUUUUAUCCAAGUUCAUCACCACACCCAACAAUGAAACUGAUGAAGAUAGUGGGAAUGAUGAUAUUGGUAGUGAUCAUAUUGAGUAGUAUUUUUUUAUUUUUUAUUUUGUUAAUUUGGUUGUAUCAUGUACAUGAUUAUAUUUAGUUUUUUUUUUUUUGAUCACGCUUUAAUUAAUACUUAGUUAUGAUUUACAAACAUAAUAUAAAUUUUGUUUAGAAGUAUCGCAAUA